GUAAGUAUCAACUAGUCAUUGGUAAAUUUAUUUAGUCAAAAGUGAGAAGCCAUUGUCGACGUGGCUUCGAUUGCCACAUAUUUUCUGCUGAAAAUAAACCCUCAUUAUUUUUAAUUGAUGCAUCAUUGUGGUAAUUAUAUUUGGGGAUGUGAUGACGUGGUCACCAUUGUAACCAGGUGAUGUCACAGCCGGAAGCCAUUGUCGACGCGUGGUUCUUGCAAUUGGGCGUUUCCAUUUGAACGGGAAUGUUCAUCAUCAAUAAUGACCAUUCACAUUUGUGCGUAAUUAUGGUGAUUAUGUUCGUCGAAGCAAUGACGUGUACACUAUUGUUAUCAAGGUUCAUCACUGCAGCCGGAAGACAUUGUCAACGUGGCAAUUGGGCGUUUCCAUUUGUUGAAA